AGCGAGCGCUGAUGACGUAAUGAGGGAUUAGCUUGCCAGUGGAAAUGCAUCUGCGCACAUACAUUUCACAUACUUUUUGGCCAAUUUUCAAUCGAAGAGGAGGUUGUUUUCUAUGUUCUCUCAACGUCGUGAGCGAUCCCGUCUUCUAUACCCUUCCAGGUACCCUGAAGGUCCUCCAGAGGAGAAUUUAUCUCCAGCGAAGCGUUGUUGAUCCGCUAAAUUCGUCUCGAGACAUAUUCACCCAGUGCAGUGCUGAUAAAUGUAGAAUGUUGAAUCUGUGAUAAUUGUUGACGAUGGAGAGAGAGGCUGAUAGCCGCUGUCGCAGGGAGAGUGAAGCUGCUGGAAGUAACAACGGGGAGCCCAUUUGUAUCACCUGAACAACCAGACUUCAAAGCAGCUUGACCAAAUCGGAGGGUGCCUCGUUGCUUAUCGUCAAUAUUACACCGACAUGAAUUACUACAAGUACACUGGUCUGUCCAAUAUGCAUUGACGGUAUUGGGUAUGGUAUCUGCUCUGAGAAGGGAAUCGCUGGAGCCACAGUCCAAUUAUACAGGCUUUCAAGAAACAGAGGAGCCAUCUUUCCCAGCUGAUACCUGAUGUGUACCGACGGAAUUCUCACGAGAUACCUUACGGACAACGUGUGGUGUGUACUUCAUAGUACUCCUUCGACUACUAUCUAGAAUCAAGUCGACUGAAACAAGUUCAAACAACUCUGGCUUCAAACGAGCCGUCGAUUAGACAAACAAAACAUUCUCUCAUAUACUGGAGCACUCUGACAACUCACGACCUAUUCCUAACGCCACCGCUUAUAAAAUAUGUAGAGUGCUGAUUGGAAUGUGCUCACAAUCUCAACAAUUCAGUGCUAUAAUUAUUUGAACAAUGUGUUAGAAAUUAUUCCACUUUUCCUUCCAUAAAUGUUGUAUCCACAGUGCUCCAAAGUUUCUUUGCUCUCUA